rnacentral:rRNA from 1 species
AACGAACGUUGGCGGCGUGGAUUAGGCAUGCAAGUCGAGCGAAUCCCCGCAAGGGGGGAAGCGGCGAAAGGGGCAGUAAGGCAUGGGUAACCUACCCUGGGGACUGGGAUAGCCCUUCGAGAGAAGGGGUAAUACCGGGCGAUGUGCCGGGCCGGCAUCGGUCAGUCACCAAAUGAGUUUCGCCCUGGGAGGGGCCCAUGUGAUAUUAGCUAGUUGGUGAGGUAACGGCUCACCAAGGCGAAGAUGUCUAGCGGGUGUGAGAGCACGACCCGCGCCACUGGCACUGAGACACUGGCCAGACACCGACGGGUGGCUGCAGUCGAGGAUCUUCGGCAAUGGGCGCAAGCCUGACCGAGCGACGCCGCGUGUGCGAUGAAGGCCUUCGGGUUGUAAAGCACUGUCGAGAGGGAGAAAAGCGAAAGCUUGAUCUAUCUCUGGAGGAAGCACGGGCUAAGUUCGUGCCAGCCGCCGCGGUAA